GGCUUCAUGGUGGAAUAGGUAGACACGUGACACUUAAAAUGUUAUGGGCAUUGUGCCUGUGCAGGUUCGAGUCCUGUUGAAGCUA
rnacentral:tRNA from 1 species